AUGGACGUGGAGAAGGUGACGGAGGUCGCGCCGGAGGUGGACGACGACGGCCGCGUAAGAACAGGGACGGUAUGGACGGCGACGACGCACGCCAUCACGGCGGUGAUCGGGUCCGGCGUGCUGGCGCUGCCGUGGAGCGUGGCGCAGAUGGGGUGGGUGCUCGGCCCCAUCGCCCUCGUCGGCUGCGCCUACAUCACCUACUUCACCGCCUGCCUCCUCUCCGACUGCUACCGCUCGCCGGACCCCGUUCACGGCAAGCGCAACUACACCUACAUGGACGCCGUCCGCUCCUGCCUCGGGCCUAGAGAAGUGGUGGUGUGCGGCAUUACGCAGUACACGAUUCUCUGCGGUGCCGUCGUGGGCUACACCAUCACAGCCGCCACGGGCAUCAUGUCCGUGGUGCGCAGCAACUGCCGGCAUUACAAGGGCCACGGCGCGAACUGCAGCCAGGAAGGGACCAUGUACCUGGUCAUGUUCGGCGUCGUCGAGGUCGUCCUCUCGCAGCUGCCCAGCCUGGAGAAGGUCACCUUCGUCUCCAUCGUCGCCGCCGUCAUGUCCUUCACCUACUCCUUCGUCGCGCUCUUCCUCAGCGCCGCCAAGUUCGCGUCUAACCACAAGGCCUACGGCACCAUCUUCGGCAGCCACAUCGGCGGCCCCGGCGGCGUCUCCGCGGCCACCAGGACCUGGAGCUUCCUGCAGGCCCUCGGCAACAUUGCAUUCGCCUACACCUACGCCAUGCUCCUCAUCGAGAUCCAGGACACGGUGAAGUCGCCGCCGUCGGAGAACGUGACGAUGAAGAGGGCGAGCCUGUACGGCAUCGGCGUGACCACGGCCUUCUACGUCUCGCUGGGGUGCAUCGGCUACGCGGCCUUCGGCAACGCGGCGCCGGGAACGUCCUCACCGGCUUCGACGAGCCCUUCUGGCUCGUGGACCUCGCCAACGUCGCCGUGGUGA
rnacentral:rRNA from 1 species